rnacentral:rRNA from 1 species
UACGUAGGGUGCGAGCGUUGUCCGGAAUUACUGGGCGUAAAGAGCUCGUAGGUGGUUUGUCGCGUUGUCCGUGAAAACUCACAACUCAAUUGUGGGCGUGCGGGCGAUCACGGGCAGACGUGGAGUACUGCAGGGAGACUGGAAGUCCUGGUGUAGCGGUGGAAUUGCGCAGGAUAUCAGGAGGAACACCGUGGCGAAGGCGGGCUCGUGGGCGAGUAACUGACGCUGAGAGCGAAAGCGUGGGGAGGCGAACAGGA